CCCCUUUUAGAGUUUGGAACCAGGCUCAGGACGAACGCUGGCGGCGUGCCUAAUACAUGCAAGUCGUACGCUUCUUUUUCCACCCGGAGCUUGCUCCACCGGAAAAAGAAGAGUGGCGAACGGGUGAGUAACACGUGGGUAACCUGCCCAUCAGAAGGGGAUAACACUUGGAAACAGGUGCUAAUACCGUAUAACAAUCGAAACCGCAUGGUUUUGAUUUGAAAGGCGCUUUCGGGUGUCGCUGAUGGAUGGACCCGCGGUGCAUUAGCUAGUUGGUGAGGUAACGGCUCACCAAGGCCACGAUGCAUAGCCGACCUGAGAGGGUGAUCGGCCACAUUGGGACUGAGACACGGCCCAAACUCCUACGGGAGGCAGCAGUAGGGAAUCUUCGGCAAUGGACGAAAGUCUGACCGAGCAACGCCGCGUGAGUGAAGAAGGUUUUCGGAUCGUAAAACUCUGUUGUUAGAGAAGAACAAGGAUGAGAGUAACUGUUCAUCCCUUGACGGUAUCUAACCAGAAAGCCACGGCUAACUACGUGCCAGCAGCCGCGGUAAUACGUAGGUGGCAAGCGUUGUCCGGAUUUAUUGGGCGUAAAGCGAGCGCAGGCGGUUUCUUAAGUCUGAUGUGAAAGCCCCCGGCUCAACCGGGGAGGGUCAUUGGAAACUGGGAGACUUGAGUGCAGAAGAGGAGAGUGGAAUUCCAUGUGUAGCGGUGAAAUGCGUAGAUAUAUGGAGGAACACCAGUGGCGAAGGCGGCUCUCUGGUCUGUAACUGACGCUGAGGCUCGAAAGCGUGGGGAGCAAACAGGAUUAGAUACCCUGGUAGUCCACGCCGUAAACGAUGAGUGCUAAGUGUUGGAGGGUUUCCGCCCUUCAGUGCUGCAGCUAACGCAUAAGCACUCCGCUGGGAGAAGGCCCCACCGG
rnacentral:rRNA from 1 species